GUAACUUGUCUCCGGUACAUAAUCGGAUUGUGUAAAAGUAACUACGGUAUCUCGAAUAAAAGACCGCUAAGUAGGUGAUAUGCAAGAAUUCGUAAUCUACGUGCCGGAUUCAAGCACAUCCAGUUCAGAUGAAGAUAGUUCUAUGAGUGUCCCUGAUUGUUCUGAAGCUAGCUCAAACAUAAGUGACAUUGAAUAUUUUAAUUCAGACUUCGAUUACAAAGAAUAAAACUUAAUCUAAUAAAAUAUUUCUUUAUUUGUAAGUUCGUUUACUAGGUUCUGAAUAAAACUUUUUCUAAUAAAAUAUUUCUUUAUUUGUAAGUUCUGUUAGUUACGAAAUUAUAUUUCACAUUUAGCAGUGACUUUUCGGCGAAGUAAAAUAACGUGAGAUGAGAGAACUGGACAUAUCCCAAUAAGGCCUGCCUACUUAUGCACAAUUUUUAUUCAUAUUCAUAUUUAUUAUUAAUAAUGUACACAUACA